CCAUCCCCAGGGCUCACUGGGGGAUGAGCAGAAGGACCCGGGCAUACCUGGCAGGUCUCCUGGCUCUGCCUCCUUUGUGCGCAUCUCUUAGCAGCCCCGAAGCUCCCGCUCACCGAGAACAAGAGGACCAAUUACAUCAACCAGCUCCCUUACAAGGAAGGGCAAAACCAUGCAUCAGCAGCUGUAACGAGCGCGCCUCCGAGUGGCCUGGAUGAGAGGACGCGGUGAGUGAGUGGAGCAGUCUCCAGCCUGCGCGGGUAAUUCCAUUUGCUGUUCAACUUGACGAAGGGAGAUAAGAAGAUGAUCCCUGUCCUCCAGAAGCUCAUGGUCCAGAAAGGAGGAUGAGAGGCUCAAGGCAAAGGAGACAGAGGUUCACAGAGAGCUGAGGGAGAGCCGAUGCUUCAUAGCCAUGAGGUGGCUUCUCUUGGCCAGGCCGAGUCUGCGAUGCAAUCAGACAGGUGAGCUGACCUACCUUGCACCGUCCGUCUCUGGCAAGCUCAGGAUUCGUCCCCAGGAUGCAAAAUCCUCGAUGGCCACCAACACUUAGCACGAGGUGAGCAUCACCAGGAGGCCAGGCCGUCUAAAAAGAGACAAG